rnacentral:rRNA from 1 species
UACGUAGGGGGCUAGCGUUGUCCGGAAUCAUUGGGCGUAAAGCGUGCGCAGGCGGUUGUGUAAGACAGAUGUGAAAUCCCCGGGCUCAACCUGGGAACUGCAUUUGUGACUGCACAGCUGGAGUGCGGCAGAGGGGGAUGGAAUUCCGCGUGUAGCAGUGAAAUGCGUAGAUAUGCGGAGGAACACCGAUGGCGAAGGCAAUCCCCUGGGCCUGCACUGACGCUCAUGCACGAAAGCGUGGGGAGCAAACAGG